AGAGUAUAGCUCAGUGGUAGAGUGCGUGCUUAGCAUUCACAAGGUCCUGGGUUCAAUCCCCAGUAGGUCUA
rnacentral:tRNA from 1 species